UACGGAGGGUGCGAGCGUUGUCCGGAAUCAUUGGGCGUAAAGGGCGCGUAGGUGGCCCGGUCAGUCUUUGGUGAAAGCGCGGGGCUCAACCCUGCGUCGGCCAGGGAUACUGCCGCGGCUCGAGCACUGUAGAGGCAGGCGGAAUUCCCGGUGUAGUGGUGGAAUGCGUAGAGAUCGGGAGGAACACCAGUGGCGAAAGCGACCUUCUGGGCUGCACCUGACACUCUAGUGCGAAAGCGUGGGGAGCAAACAGG
rnacentral:rRNA from 1 species